CGGGACGGGUGAGUAACGCGUGGAUAACCUGCCUCACACUGGGGGAUAACAGUUAGAAAUGACUGCUAAUACCGCAUAAGCGCACAGUACCGCAUGGUACAGUGUGAAAAACUCCGGUGGUGUGAGAUGGAUCCGCGUCUGAUUAGCCGGUUGGCGGGGUAACGGCCCACCAAAGCGACGAUCAGUAGCCGACCUGAGAGGGUGACCGGCCACAUUGGGACUGAGACACGGCCCAA
rnacentral:rRNA from 1 species